AAUUGGUAUAGCGUUUGGGAGAUUUACAGGGGGAUCUUACUAUGGAGUCGGCAUGUCUUCCAUGUGAUCUUGAUUUUGUUCCUGAGCUAGUCUGCUUUUGAGGUGAACUUGACUGUGAUUUUCCUAUGGACUUGGACCUUUUUGGCUAUCCGAACGCCUCCUGUUUCUUCCCCAUGAAGAACUUCUACUUCGAGUUCUCCUUGGACUGGGGCUUCUUGAUCUCCUGUGAUCAGCUGGAGAACAAGGAUGACGUUCUUUUGAUUUCAUUUGGCCUGGUGCUAGAAUGUGAAAAACAAGGCUUGUAACACAAUUCAUUAUUUGAAAACCACAAUACCAGCCAAUCAACUAGUAUCACUCGCUGAAAGAAUUUUAAAUUUUAAAAAUCUCCCAUUGCUGUAACUCAUUCUGCUGAAUAAAAAAGAUCCAAGGUUUAGUCACACUUA